UUUUUUUUUUUUUUUUUUUUUUUUUUUUUCCAAC
rnacentral:ribozyme from 1 species